GUGGGGAAUAUUGCGCAAUGGGGGAAACCCUGACGCAGCGACGCCGUGUGAGGGAAGAAGGCUUUCGGGUCGUAAACCUCUGUCAGAAAGGAAGAACCUCCCAAGUCCGAAUAGGGCUUGGGACUGACGGUACUUUCAAAGGAAGCACCGGCUAACUCCGUGCCAGCAGCCGCGGUAAUACGGAGGGUGCAAGCGUUAAUCGGAAUCACUGGGCGUAAAGCGCGCGUAGGCCGCUUUGUACGUCGGACGUGAAAGCACCUGGCUCAACCGGGGAACUGCGUUCGAUACUGCGAGGCUUGAGUCCUGGAGAGGGUGGCGGAAUUCCGGGUGUAGGAGUGAAAUCCGUAGAUAUCCGGAGGAACACCGGUGGCGAAGGCGGCCACCUGGACAGGUACUGACGCUGAGGCGCGAAAGCGUGGGGAGCAAACAGGAUUAGAAACCCCUGUAGUCC
rnacentral:rRNA from 1 species